rnacentral:rRNA from 1 species
AUGCGGAAGAGAUAAGUGCUGAAAGCAUCUAAGCACGAAACUUGCCCCGAGAUGAGUUCUCCCUGACUCUUUAAGAGUCCUGAAGGAACGUUGAAGACGACGACGUUGAUAGGCCGGGUGUGUAAGCGCAGCGAUGCGUUGAGCUAACCGGUACUAAUGAACCGUGAGGCUUAACCUUACAACGCCGAAG